rnacentral:rRNA from 1 species
CACGUAGGAGACUAGCGUUAUUCGGAUUUACUGGGCGUAAAGCGCGUGCAGGCGGUUCGGUAAGUUGGAUGUGAAAGCUCCUGGCUUAACUGGGAGAGGUCGUUCAAUACUACCGGACUUGAGAGUGGUAGAGGGAGAUGGAAUUCCGGGUGUAGUGGUAAAAUGCGUAGAUAUCCGGAAGAACACCAGUGGCGAAAGCGGUCUCCUGGACCAUUUCUGACGCUCAGACGCGAAAGCUAGGGUAGCGAACGGGAUUAGAGACCCCGGUAGUCCUAGCUGUAAACGAUGUAGACUUGGCGUUGGAGGGGUUAAAUCCUUCAGUGCCGAAGCAAACGCGAUAAGUCUACCGCCUGGGGACUACGGCCGCAAGGUUA